rnacentral:rRNA from 1 species
AGCGUAGGUGGCCUAACAUGUCAACUGUGAAAACCCGGAGCUCAACUCCGGACCUGCAGUUGAAACUGGUAGGCUUGAGGGCGGUAGAGGAAGACGGAACUGCCAGUGUAGGGGUAAAAUCCUUAGAUAUUGGCAGGAACGCCGGUGACGAAGGUGGUUUUCUGGGCCGGUUCUGACACUGAUGCUCGAAAGCCAGGGGAGCGAACGG